GGGUUGUGAGGUUAAGCGACUAAGCGUACACGGUGGAUGCCCUGGCAGUCAGAGGCGAUGAAGGACGUGCUAAUCUGCGAUAAGCGUCGGUAAGGUGAUAUGAACCGUUAUAACCGGCGAUUUCCGAAUGGGGAAACCCAGUCGGUAAGGUGAUAUGAACCGUUAUAACCGGCGAUUUCCGAAUGGGGAAACCCAG
rnacentral:rRNA from 1 species